ACUUCGCCAAAGUUACUAAUUUUUUGUUUUCUUUUUUGUUAUUUCAAGACCAAAAAUCCCACCAUGGAUAACCACAAUUGGACUGAUCGAAAAGACCAUUGGAGUCGAAACUGCGCCAAUCUUCCGGAGAUGUUAAAGAAUCAUCACCCGGAU